rnacentral:rRNA from 1 species
UACAGAGGUCCCAAGCGUUGUUCGGAUUCACUGGGCGUAAAGGGUGCGUAGGUGGUGGGGUAAGUCGGAUGUGAAAGCUCGGAGCUCAACUCCGAAAUGGCAUUGGAAACUACCCUGCUAGAGGAUUGGAGGGGGGACUGGAAUACUUGGUGUAGCAGUGAAAUGCGUAGAUAUCAAGUGGAACACCAGUGGCGAAAGGCGAGUCCCUGGACAAUUCCUGACACUGAGGCACGAAAGCUAGGGGGAGCAAAACAGG